rnacentral:lncRNA from 1 species
UAGAAACAGAGCAACGAUAAAAGGGGGGAAGUGGAAGUCGAAGCCCGGUGCGGAAAGCUUCCUGAUAUAAGCAGAAGCGGCCAGGAGGAGGGGCGCUAGCUCGAUCAGUUGGUCCGAGAAGCUUAAACUCGUACUCCGGAGGAACUCCAUACUGAAUCCUAAUCAGCGAGAGUUCGUCCGAAGUCAGAGUGCUAGAAAUGGUGUCUGGUACAAAGAUCGGACGAGGUUCAUCUACAGAACUAAGAUUUUGAGGGGCUGAAAUGGAUGAACUCCUAGAACUGCU